CUUAGAGCUUUCAAAAAGCUAACACUGAAAGAUCCCACGCAGAGAGACCCUUACUCAAGUCUUGGGAAAUCGCAGACCCCAGACACAGAGAGACCA
rnacentral:pre_miRNA from 14 species